rnacentral:rRNA from 1 species
GAUGAACGCUGGCGGCGUGCCUAAUACAUGCAAGUCGAGCGAACAGAUAAGGAGCUUGCUCCUUUGACGUUAGCGGCGGACGGGCGAGUAACACGUGGGUAACCUACCUAUAAGACUGGGAUAACUUCGGGAAACCGGAGCUAAUACCGGAUAAUAUUUCGAACCGCAUGGUUCUAUAGUGAAAGAUGGUUUUGCUAUCACUUAUAGAUGGACCCGCGCCGUAUUAGCUAGUUGGUAAGGUAACGGCUUACCAAGGCGACGAUACGUAGCCGACCUGAGAGGGUGAUCGGCCACACUGGAACUGAGACACGGUCCAGACUCCUACGGGAGGCAGCAGUAGGGAAUCUUCCGCAAUGGGCGAAAGCCUGACGGAGCAACGCCGCGUGAGUGAUGAAGGUCUUCGGAUCGUAAAACUCUGUUAUUAGGGAAGAACAUACGUGUAAGUAACUGUGCACGUCUUGACGGUACCUAAUCAGAAAGCCACGGCUAACUACGUG